AGGACGAACGCUGGCGGCGUGCUUAACACAUGCAAGUGGAGCGACGAACCGGGGCUUGCCCCGGGGCAGAGCCGCGAACGGGUGAGUAACACGUGGGUUACCUGCCCCAAUGACCGGGACAACCCGAGGAAACUCGGGCUAAUACCGGAUGUGGUCUUCGGACGAAAGGAAGCUUCGGCCUCCGCAUUGGGAUGGGCCCGCGGCGCAUUAGCUUGUUGGUGGGGUAACGGCCUACCAAGGCGACGAUGCGUAGCUGGUCUGAGAGGACGAUCAGCCACACUGGGACUGAGACACGGCCCAGACUCCUACGGGAGGCAGCAGUGGGGAAUCUUGCGCAAUGCGCGAAAGCGUGACGCAGCAACGCCGCGGUGGGGGAAGAAGGCCGUUCGGUUGUAAACCUCUUUCGAGUUGGGACGAGGCCGCGCCGUUAAUAGCGGUGGCGGUUGACGGUACCUUCGAGAAGACGCCCGACUAACUACGUGCCAGCAGCCGC
rnacentral:rRNA from 1 species